AGCAGCCGCGGUAAUUCCAGCUCCAAUAGCGUAUAUUAAAGUUGUUGCAGUUAAAAAGCUCGUAGUUGAAUUUCGGGGUUUGUCCAUCGGUCGGGCUUUAUUGUCCGUACUGGUGUGAUGAAUUCCUACCUUCUGAAUAACCUUCAUGUCAUUUAUUUGGUGUGUUGGGGAAGCAGAGCUGUUACCUUGAAAAAAUUAGAGUGCUUAAAGCAGGCAAGUGCCUGAAUACAUUAGCAUGGAAUAAUGAAAUAGGACGGCAUGGUUCUAUUUUGUUGGUUUCUAGGAUCACCGUAAUGAUUAAUAGGGAUAGUUGGGGGCAUUAGUAUUCAAUUGUCAGAGGUGAAAUUCUUGGAUUUAUUGAAGACUAACUUCUGCGAAAGCAUUUGCCAAGGAUGUUUUCAUUAAUCAAGAACGAAAGUUAGGGGAUCGAAGACGAUCAGAUACCGUCGUAGUCUUAACCAUAAACUAUGCCGACUAGGGAUCGGACGAUGUUAAUUUUUUAAUGACUCG
rnacentral:rRNA from 1 species